rnacentral:rRNA from 1 species
GACGAACGCUGGCGGCAUGCUUAACACAUGCAAGUCGAACGAGACCUUCGGGCCUUUUUGCGCACGUGGACUUAACACCUGGGAACCUACCCUUGGGUUCGCUAUACCUCCCCGAAAGGGAACCUAAUACCGCUUAAGGUCUUCGGGCCAAAGAUUUAUGGCGUUUGGAUGGGCGCGGGUUAGUUUCGGUGGUUGGUAGGGUAAAAGCGUGCCAACGCCAGGUUCCAUGGCUGGUGUGAUAGGAGGAUCUGCCAGGCUGGGAAUGAGGCACGGCCCAGACUCCGACGGGGGGCAGCAGUAGGGAAUAUUGGACGAUGGGCGAAGGCCUGAUAAAGCAAUGCCGCGUGAGUGAUGAAGGCGUUAGGGUUGUAAAGCUCUUUUAGCCGGGAUGAUAAUGACAGUACCGGGAGAAGAAGCUCCGGCUAACUACGUG